rnacentral:tRNA from 1 species
GCGGUUGUAGCUCAAUGGAUGAGAGCGCCUGAUUUCGAAUCAGGAGGUUGUAGGUUCGAGUCCUACCAGCCGUA